UACGGAGGAUGCAAGCGUUAUCCGGAUUCACUGGGUUUAAAGGGUGCGUAGGUGGGUUGGUAAGUCAGUGGUGAAAUCCCCGAGCUUAACUUGGGAACUGCCAUUGAUACUAUCAGUCUUGAAUACUGUGGAGGUCAGCGGAAUAUGUCAUGUAGCGGUGAAAUGCUUAGAUAUGACAUAGAACACCAAUUGCGAAGGCAGCUGGCUACACAAAUAUUGACACUGAGGCACGAAAGCGUGGGGAUCAAACAGG
rnacentral:rRNA from 1 species